rnacentral:rRNA from 1 species
CAAUAGCGUAUAUUAAAGCUGUUGCGGUUAAAAAGCUCGUAGUUGGAUUUCUGUCAAGGACUACUGGUCCGCCCUCCGGGUGAGCACAUAGUUUGGUCUUGGCAUCUUGCUGGAAGCUGUUGCUGCACUUGGCUGUGUGGCGCAGCGUCCAGCACUUUCACUUUGAGGAAAUUGGAGUGUUUCAAGCAGGCACAUGCCUUUGGACACAGUAGCAUGGAAUAAUUAGAUUGGGCUUUUGCUCCAAUUUGUCGGUUUCUGGAGCUGAGGUGAGAAUUAAUGGGGAUUGUUGGGGGCAUCCGAAUUUAGCCGUCAGAGGUGAAAUUCUUGGAUCUGCUAAAGACGGACAACUGCGAAAGCGUUUGCCCAGGAUGUUUUCAUUGA